UUGUGAGAGUGAUCCGUCUAAAACCCAGAGCAGCCUAGAGCUCAGAGAUGGGAGGAGCGAAAGAGAGAGGCUGCAGAGAGGAUGGAGAAAGAGAGAGAGUCUGCAGCCACAGUGAAAGGGAGAAGAGGUACAAGGGAAGAGAAGCGAAUCUGAAAGAGAAGCAGACGCAGAGCUGAAGGCAGGUGGGGAGGCAGGUUUUCGGACAACGCUGCCAGGCCACUGGGACUGGGGAGAACCCUAUGGUAAUUGCGCUCUCAUUAAGGGAGGGAGGGUGAGGGCGACUAAUGACUGCUGCUUUAAGUAUGCGGAAAAACAACUCCCUCUGAACAGAACUAGCUGGAGUGUCAGAGAUCUGCAGUUUGCCUCGGUGACAACAUGGGACAGAGAAGGCCUGAAACGUACUGUGCUCAUAACCGGAAAUUCCUGGGAAAAUCAAACAGUGAAAGAUGUAGCUUGCAUCCUGGAUACAAAGAUUCAUGGAGGAAGUAACGGGAACAUUUCUGAUCAAGGCAAAGUUGGAUGUAUAAUCCAACACUGAUUUCAAGCUCCAAGAUGGUGAUGUAAACUGUGGCAAAUAACAGGUUGUUGCAGUUUUGAAAUGGUGGAUAAAGCUAGCUUUGGGAUGUUUUCUGACAGUUUGUUGGAUUGGAUUUAAUUUUUAUUAUAUUUUGUUGGAAUUUUACUGACCAGACGACUGACUGGACCACUAAACAGCGAUGAAUGUUCGAUUCAAGGCCCCAAGCUGCGCUGCGCUGGAGGAGGAGUAGUCAAAAGGCGUCUGGGAUCACCCCCCCCCAAUGCUAAAGGGAAAUCGAGUUUCCAUUGAUUGAUUUUAAAUGUGACUUCCAUGUGCAUAAUUGUGGAUUUGAGGGAAGAUGUAUUUCUCCAAACUGUGGGGGAGUACCUUGAUGCUCAUAAACCCACAAUGCGCUGGAGAUCUAGUGUGGGAACACUGAGAAUAAAAGGCCUAAAACCUACAGGUUCAAUCUCCUGUGAACAUGUAGUUGAUUUAAAAGAAUGAACAUUCUGUGCCAAGGACAAGAAGCGCCCACAUACAGUUUUGUUAAAUAAACUAUGAAACAAAUUAAAUAUUAUUGUGUGGUACACAA